GGCGAACGCUGGCGGCGUGCUUAACACAUGCAAGUCGAACGGAAAGGCCCUGCUUUUGUGGGGUGCUCGAGUGGCGAACGGGUGAGUAACACGUGAGUAACCUGCCCUUGACUUUGGGAUAACUUCAGGAAACUGGGGCUACUACCGGAUAGGAGCUCCUGCUGCAUGGUGGGGGUUGGAAAGUUUCGGCGGUUGGGGAUGGACUCGCGGCUUAUCAGCUUGUUGGUGGGGUAGUGGCUUACCAAGGCAUUGGCGGGUAGCCGGCCUGAGAGGGUGACCGGCCACAUGGGUACUGCGAGACGGCCCAGACUGCUAUGUGAGGCAGCAGUGGGGAAUAUUGCACAAUGGGCGGAAGCCUGAUGCAGCAACGCCGCGUGCGGGAUGACGGCCUUCGGGUGGUAAACCGCAUUCGCCUGUGACGAAGCGUGAGUGACGUUAAUAGGUAAAGAAGCACCGGCUAACUACGUG
rnacentral:rRNA from 1 species